rnacentral:rRNA from 1 species
UUGGGUUAAGUCCGCAACGAGCGCAACCCCUACGUUUAGUUGCUAACAGGUGAAGCUGAGCACUCUAGACGAACUGCCGUUGACAAAACGGAGGAAGGUGGGGAUGACGUCAAAUCAUCAUGCCCCUUAUGUUCUGGGCUACACACGUGCUACAAUGGCCGGUACAGACGGAGGCGAAGCCGCGAGGCGGAGCAAAUCCGAAAAAGCCGGUCUCAGUUCGGAUUGCAGGCUGCAAUUCGCCUGCAUGAAGUCGGAAUCGCUAGUAAUCGCAGGUCAGCAUACUGCGGUGAAUACGUUCCCGGGCCUU